GUUUGCCACUUCAGCAGCACAGAGACUAAAGUUGGAACCAUACAGAGAAGAUAAGCAUUGUCUCCGGGCAAGGAUGACAUGCAAGUCCGUGAAGCUUUCCAUAUAUUU